GCAAGAGUAAUUGGAGUUCUUGCAAGUUCUAACCAGCUUAAUCAAUAACUGGGUAAAUUGCAGUACUCCAACAUUC
ensembl:miRNA